rnacentral:rRNA from 1 species
UACGAAGGGAGCGAGCGUUGUUCGGAAUCACUGGGCGUAAAGCGUGCGUAGGCGGUUUUAUAAGUCAGAAGUGAAAGCCUGGGGCUCAACCUCAGAAUUGCUUUUGAGACUGUAAAGCUAGAAUCCUGGAGAGGUUAGUGGAAUUCCGAGUGUAGAGGUGAAAUUCGCAGAUAUUCGGAGGAACACCAGUGGCGAAGGCGACUAACUGGACAGGCAUUGACGCUGAGGCACGAAAGCGUGGGGAGCAAAAGGG